rnacentral:lncRNA from 1 species
UCACACCCCCAACCAGGCAUAACGAAACUUUCCUCAUAUCACACCCCCAACCAUGCAUAAUAAAACUCCCCUCUACAGCGGCAUCCCCAAACCCUAAAUUCCUUGUGCCUCAAUUUGCAUUCUCAAUAGCGAAGGCCCUAUCAUCUGGUAUCAUGGGGGAUCCGAAAAAAUCUCAACCUUCCGCCGCCGCCGCUGAUCUCACCUCCAGCCAAGUUGAUCUCCAGGGGAAGUUACAGGAUAUGGAGAAAUCUCUGGGCAAUGUAAUAGAGAAAACCCAAAAGUUCGAAUUGCAAACAUCAAUACUGGAGCCACGUCCCCGGCCUACGAUGUCUUCUGCCGCCGCUGAACUCACCACUGCUCAAUACCGUGCCUUGACCAAGUUAUUGGAGGUGCUUUCCGCCCAGCUUUCUGCACAGCUAUCCGCCCAGCUAUCCGCCCAGCUAUCGGCCCAGCUCGAUUCGCAGAAAUCAAUACUGGAGGAGCUUCGCCUUAUACGCCCCAGUAAUGCUAUCAACUUUCAAUCCGAAAGGAAGAAGACUCCAAAUUUCACUGUUCCCGACCGUGAGCCCUUUAAUCCUUACCCAAGGUCAGCGCAUAAUGGCUUAGUGGAUGUCAUCUUGUCUUCUUAAUUUUUGGAUUCAUCCUUAAUUAUAUUCGAAGAUUCUUGCUUGGACUAUUUUUGUGUGUGGCUAUUUUAAUGCUAGGAGUUUUGUAUCUCUUUGUUACCAGUCAGUUCACAUGUGUUACGUAUUCUUGAAUUUGAAUUGGAUUACCAGCUCGGCCUUAAUCUAUUUUUCUGUAGUUGUUUUCUUGCAAAAACUGUGUUAUAUUUUCUGAGGAAUCGGAUGUUAUAUUUUACAAUUCUGAUCAUGCAUACAUAUAUUCUAUACAUUGAAUUGAACUUUCCAUUUAACUAUGAUCGACCUAUUACUCUCUAAUAUUUAAUGAUGAUGAUCUACUCCUACACUUCCAUACUCAGUUUGUAGGAAAAUGGAGAAAUUUAUUUUUAUAUAUUGCCAGUUUUACUGUUUUGCUUGUAUUUGUUUCUAUGCAUAUAUGCUUACUAAAGUAGAUAGUGCAGCUUUGACCUUGCUUCAUUCAUUAAAUCUCUCUAGGCUGGUUGGUGUUUGAAAAUAUUAACUUGACUUGUUCUAUAUAUCUCUCUCUUUUUUGUCCAGCUUUUCUAUGGUGGAGGAUGCAUCGAUGGUAGAUCAGGAGGAAGAUAGAUCUGUAUAUUUAUUGAUGUCUUAUUAUGAUAGCCGAUACACUGAUUCAAUCUAUCAAGUUACAUUCAAACAUGGAGGAGUCACCCAUGAACCCCCAGUAGUUGAACUUGACCAAGAGUUUUAUGACGGUUUUUACAUCCAGGGUGCCAGGAUUACCAACCGCUCCCAAUUAUACAUCCUUCUACAAAACGGUUAUAAUGACCCUUUAAAGCAGGUGCCAUCAGGAUAUAGUAUUGAAACGAAGAAGUGGUCAUAUCAUUCAUCUCUUCCUCCUAACAUAACAUCUAAACCACUAGCAACUCUUGUAUCUGCGUAUGACAAGCUCUACUAUAUUGCGUCUCCAGUGUGCUUACCACCAAUUAAGGAGCCCUCCUUUGAGAGAUAUGAUCCCGCCCAAAACCUUUGGGAGCGAAUGCCUUCUUUUCCAUUUUAUCAUGAUGAUGGGAUCCGUAUGGAAAUAAUUGGUUAUGCCGUUUGUUAUGGCGUUAUUUUGUUUUCAUUGUGGGACUCCGACCUAAAUCCGAAUGUUGUUGCUUUUCAUGAGAGUAUAAACCAAUGGAGUCAAGUGACUUUUGCUUCCUAUGCCCCAUUUCGAGGGAGGGCCGUGGUUGUAGGUGACACUAUCUAUGCCGUACAUGCGCUUAUGGUGGAGCAUAUUAUAGCAUUCUCCUUCAAGAUGGACAAAGGUGAACAUGGUUGCAUUACAUAUUCCCUAAGCCCACUGUUUACAUUGCGUGGAUUGGAAAUCGCGUGUCCGCCAGUGCCAUUUUGUGAGCUUAAGACAGGGUAUUUAGUUCAUUUGGGUAACCAUGACUUUUUUCAUGUCAUGACUGGUAGUCCCAAUAGCGAACCACGUCCUGAAGUUCAAUAUCUUUGUAUCACCACGUUUCAAAUUGUUGUUGGAGAAGGAGGAAGACCCAUGAUCAAGACCAUACAGUCAACUAUUCAUCCUGUGAAUAUCAAAGGCCGUGAUUGGUUCUUUCUUGAGUUCUGCUUCACGCCGUAAGUUUCUUUCACUACAUUAUUAUAAUUGUGUUUGUAUGUUGGAAUUAUGUUACCUUUUGUAUGUAACAAGGUUUCUCAUUACUCAGUGAGUGCGGGGAUCAUGAACCUAUAGAAGGGGACAUUAUGACUAGUAUGAAUCAGCCAAAACAAGAAGAAAUCACUCUGAAUGAACAUGAACCAACUAAGGAUGAGAAUGUCUUGACGUGGGAGGUGGCUCGUAGCGAGUUUCUUGCUCGCCGGUGUCAAAGGUGAAAGAAAUGUGUUUACAAUGAAAUCUUUUUAUUUAUUUAAUGACAUUAAAUCAAGAGAGUCAAUUGUUUGAUGUCUAUAAGUGUUUUUUAGUCUUUGAGUCUAGUUUCUCGAAAUAAUUAUUUGGUUUUGCAGAAAGAGGCCAAGAAAGAAGCCAAGCUGGAGUAACCGCCAUGUAGUAUGAGUAGGUGCCAGGCAGCAUGAAAAAACCAACAAGAAAAAGCCCAGGAAGAUAAGAAAAAGAAAACCUGUAAUGUAAGAAGCUGUUGCAUGCAGAGCUGUACGACGAAUGAUGAGUUCCGCAGAAAUUACUUAUGUAAUUGUCAAUUUUGGAUUAUGGGUUAUUGUAAUUUUCAUAUAGUUAAGCAUUUAUAUCAAGAUUAUUGGCUUGGCAUUUGCUGCAUAUCUUCC